ACUGCAGUGCAUCUCUUCCUCAUGGACUGCACCAGAUUUGCCAGUUCUUGCUGUGAGAUGUUACACCACUCUUCCACCAAGGCAUCUGCAAGUUCCCAGACAUUUCUGGGGGGAAUGGCCCUAGCCCUCACCCUCCAAUCCGACAGGUCCCAGACGUGCUCAAUGGGAUUGAGAUCCGGGCUCGUCGCUGGCCAUGGCAGAACAGUGACAUUCCUGUCUUACAGGAAAUCACGCACAGAAUUAACAGUAUGGCUGGAGGGUCAUGUCAGGAUGAGCCUGCAGGAAGGGAACCACAUGAGGGAGGAGGAUGUCUUCCCUGUAACGCACAGCGUUGAGAUUGCCUGCAAUGACAACAAGCUCAGUCCGAUGAUGCUGUGACACACCGCCCCAGACCAUGACGGACGCUCCACCUCCAAAUCGAUCCCACUCCAGAGUACAGGCAUCGGUGUAACACUCAUUCCUUUGACGAUAAACCCGAAUCCGACCAUCACCCCUGGUGAGACAAAAAACGCGACUCGUCAGAGAAGAGCACUUUUUGCCAUUCCUGUCUGGUCCAGCGACGUUGGGUUUGUGCCCAUAGACAACGUUGUUGCCGGUGAUGUCUGGUGAGGACCUGCCUAACAACAGGCCUACAAGCCCUCAGUCCAGCCUCUCUCAGCCUAUUGCGGACAGUCUGAGGAAUUGUGCGUUCCUGGUGUAACUCGGUCAGUUGUUGUUGCCAUCCUAUACCUGUCCCGCAGGUGUGAUGUUUGGAUGUACUGAUCCUGGCAGGUGUUGUUACACAUGAUCUGCCACUGCGAGGACGAUCAGCUGUCCGUCCUGUGUCCCUGUAGCGCUGUCUUAAGUGUCUCACAGUACGGACAUUGCAAUUUAUUUCCCUGGCCACAUCUGCAGUCCUCAUGCCUCCUUGCAGCAUGCCUAAGGCACGUUCACGCAGAUGAGCAGGGACCCUGGGCAUCUUUCUUUUUGUGUUUUUCAGAGUCAGUAGAAAGGCCUCAUUAGGGUCCUAAAUUUUCAUAACUGUGACCUUAAUUGCCUACGGUUAGUGUCUUAACGACCGUUCCACAGGUGCAUGUUCAUUAUUUGUUUAUGGUUCAUUGGACAAGCAUGGAAAACAGUGUUAAAACCCUUUACUAUGAAGAUCUGUGAAGGUAUUUGAAUAAGGGAUUUUUUAAAAUACAAUUAUUGCAUAUACUGUCUUUUAAACAUGUGAUAUACUUAGUGUUGUUUUAUCUAUUGCUAUUUUUGUAUAACAUUCCUUCAGAUCACUAAAACCUCACUUGAUGUGGUGGAAGUUGUCGAACCAGAUCUGAACACCUUCGAGUACUACCUUCAGACAUGUACUGAGAAGGAUGUGAAGGUUUUUGACCAGCCUGUUCCCUUUAACGUCUGAGGUUGAGUGAGUCCACCUGAUGUCCACCUGAUGUCCUCCUUUACCAACCACCCUCCAACUUUUCACUACAUCAUCUACAGCGACUGUUAUUGUCAUGUUGUCAUUAUCUGUUCAGAAAGUUGUAUUGCUCUAUUAUACUGUGCACAUAAUAUGUGAGAUACACAGCUUAACUAAAAACACUCGCAUUGCAAACACUUUGCAGUCUCCCUCUUCAAGUCCCCCUUCUGAGACUGGCUGCCUAUUGAGAAGUGACAGGCACAAUUCCACACACCAGAAUUCACUAUUUUAGUCUGAUUGCCUUGUGAGUGCACAAAAAAUAAAUUCAUGACACAACUGUACCAAAAACGAUCAACGUUUACGUAUUAAAAUGUAAAAUAUUGCCAAGUUGGUUUUCACAGCUGUUUCACAAGGUAUAAGUUGUAAGGUAUCAUUUGAUGGUAUUUAUUGGUUCCACAUUAUUCAUUGUUGUAUCCUAGGACCUACAAUAGAUACAUAUAUGAACUAUGCUAGAUAUUAAUAUUUUUUUCUAACACGACUCCUGAAAUGAUAUUAUUUCAGUGUAGAUAAGGGAAGGGCAGGUUGAAAUCAAAACAUGAGUCAGACAAGCCAGUGUAUGAAUCAAACUGAUUUGCAUAUGAAUGGAGUGGAAAUGAUCUGACUUCCUGAUCUGUAAGGGAAGUAACUUUAAUGUGUCAGGUUACACGUUUUCUUUGUCAUUUCUGAAACAUAGCCAUUUUUAAGACAUGGACUUCAUAUUCUAAUGUUAACAAGGUACCCCAAAGUAGUUUGAAUUCAUGUUUCUAUUUUAUUAGCUAAACAAAACUUGUUUAAACAGAGAAAUUGUAGCAGAAACCAGCCUUGUUUGCAUAGCGAUGAUGAAUAGGAAGUCAUUUAGGCUGUAAUGACCUCCAAAAUUCUAAUCAUUAGGUCAUCAAUUCUAAUCAUUAGGUCAAACGGACGCUAAUAGUUUAUCGAAUCCCAUUGUGACGUAGAGGGGGACAUUAUUUGGCAUGACAGGGACAAAAAUGCAAUUUCAGAAUGUAGGGGGGACAUGCCCGUACCCCCGGCCCCAGUUAAAGUUGUCUUCUUGUUUGUGCAGUACCUAUGUUGCUUUCUUUGUUUGCAUUGUUUUUUAGAGGGUACAUCAGCUUUAAUAUUGCAGAUAGCUUGUGUCUUCCAUCAUUGUAUUUGUCUGCAUCAUUUUCAAUUCCUUUAUUAUUAUCCCAUAACCCUACCACCCCUCCCCCGAUUUGAGUAAACUCAUGGACAACACUUGUUUACA
ensembl:lncRNA